rnacentral:rRNA from 1 species
UACGGGGGGGGCGAGCGUUGUUCGAAAUCACUGGGCGUAAAGGGCGCGUAGGCGGCCCGCACAAGUCUGCGGUGAAAACCCCCGGCUUAACCGGGGGCCGGCCGUGGAAACUGUCGGGCUGGAGGCUGGGAGAGGGCAGCGGAAUUCCCGGUGUAGCGGUGAAAUGCGUAGAGAUCGGGAGGAACACCGGCGGCGAAGGCGGCUGCCUGGACCAGUCCUGACGCUGAGGCGCGAAAGCUAGGGGAGCAAACAGG